rnacentral:rRNA from 1 species
GACGAACGCUGGCGGCGUGCUUAACACAUGCAAGUCGAACGGAAAGGCCCAGCUUGCUGGGUCCUCGAGUGGCGAACGGGUGAGUAACUCGUGGGUUAUCUGCCCUCAACUUUGGGAUAAGCCUAGGCAACUGGGUCUAAUACCGGAUAUGAUCUACUGUCGCCUGGUGGUUGGUGGAGAGCUUUUGCGGUUGCGGAUGGGCCGGCGGCCUAUCCGCUUUUUGGUGGGGUAAUGGCCUACCACGGCGACGACGGGUAGCCGACACGGGAGGGUGAUCGCCGACAAGAGGACUGAGGGACGGCGCAGAGUGCUAUAGGAGGCAGUGGGGGGAAGUAUGACACAAUGAGCGCGAGCGGGUGGCGGAGACGCCGGGUGAGGGAUGACGGCCUUUGGGGUGAAAACAGCUGCCACCAGGGACGAAGCGGGAGUGACGGUACCUGGAGAAGAAGCACCGGCCAACUACGUG